AUGGCAGGAAGGGGGGACAGAAAAGGGGGGGAAGACAGGACAAGAAAUGGAGGGAAAAAGGGACAGAAAAGGGGGAAGAGAGGAGAGAAAUCGGAGGGAAACGUGACAAAAAAUAUGGGGAAGAGGGGAUGGAAAAGAGGAGGAAGAGGGGAGGGGAAAAUGGAGGCAAGACAGAACAAGAAAUGGACGGAAAAGGAGGGGAAGAGGGGAGACAAAAUGGUGGGAAGAGGUGACAGAAAAUUGAGGAAACGUGACAGAAAAGGGACAGAAGAGGUGGCAGUAAAUGGCGGGAAGAGGAGAGAGAACAAGGGGGAAGAAGGGACAGAAAAUGGCAGGAAGCAGGGACAGAGAAUGGUGGGAAGAGGGGACAAGACAUGGAGGAAGAGGGGACAGAAGUGGGUGACAAGGGGACAUGAGAGGGGACAGCAGAUGACCGCUGGCCACCAUUGUCACCUGUGUCCCCUCAGGCUGCGGCGAUGGACGGUGACCCACACGGUGUCCCUUGUCCCCCUGCGGGGGGUCCACGGCUGGAGGCGCUGCUGGUGCGGAUCCGCAGCCUGCACCGAGCCCGUCAGGUCCUGGCGCGGGAGAUGGCGGAGGCGCAAGGACAGAGCGAGGAGUUGCGACGGCACCUGGAACAACUGGAAGAGCGUCAGGCGGCGCUGGAAGGGCUCUGGCAGCAGAAGCAAGAGGCGCUGCGGGUGGCACGGUUGCGCAGGGAGGAGGUGGAGGCCGAAGGUCAAAGGCGCCAGGGCCUGUGCCUAA
rnacentral:lncRNA from 1 species